UUCAAACCAUGUCCAUUUCCCAGACACAUCUCCCGCACUGCAGACUGCAAACCUAUUCUCCUCGGUCUGAGACUUUGUUUUGUGUCAGUUAAAAAGGUUACUAGAGACUUACAGUCCAUACAAAGACCUGUACAGAGCAAGCGGGCUGGAGUAGCAAACAUUUCAAAGCGAUACUUGUGUCCAGUUGGAAAUAUACUAGCUGCGACAAGUAGAAGUUACUGUAGGACCUGAGCCCUAGUACCAUGCCUCUGGACUACCUGGCAUGAUAACUCCUUGCUGUCCCCAGUCCACCUGGCCGUGCUGCUGCUCCAGUUUCAACUGUUCUGUCUGCGGCUAUGGAACCCUGACCUGUUCACUGUGAUUACUAUUAUUUGACCAUGCUGGUCAUUUAUGAACAUUUGAACAUCUUGGCCAUGUUCUGUUAUAAUCUCCACCCGGCACAGCCAGAAGAGGACUGGCCAUCCCUCAUAGCCUGGUUCCUCUCUAGGUUUCUUCCUAGGUUUUGGCCUUUCUAGCGAGUUUUUCCUAGUCACCGUGCUUCUACACCUGCAUUGCUUGCUGUUUUGGGUUUUAGGCUGGGCCUCUGUACAGCAGAAAGGGCUAUAUAAAUACAUUUGAUUUGAUUUGAAUAUAUUUUGAUAUGUUUACUGAUAAUCAAUUGUUAGUCACUGAAAUCAAACAGGUUCUGACCAGAUUACUCUGACCAACAGUGAAGUUAGGAUCAGUUUCUCUUGCAGUUAUGGAUCAUGUGUCACUUGACUUGAUGUGAACAAAACAUCUUUGGAGGGAUAAUGGAAACUGUUACCACUUACCAAAUUUAAGAGUUUCCGAGUGAUGCUGUAUAUGAGCUUAAUUAGCAUGAUGCCUGGACCUAUAUCCUGAUUGACAAUCACUUUACUCUUGAGUAAUUAGGCUCUCAGAAUAGCCUAAAUAUAAUGCUGAUUGUGCACACUGUAGAACACAUUGUAUUGGCCAGGGCCCAGUCCCCCCCUGCAUGUUAUGGAACAUUAGCCUCUAUCUAUGUGAAUGUUGUAUUGUUUCUAAUAUACAAUGUUUUGUGAAUAUCUCUCUGUUUCUUUGAAGAAAUGUGCCUAAUGAUACACUAUGUUGCUCUGUGAGCAGUCUGGAGUACUCAUUAAUUCGUUAUAUAAAGGUCAUAACAUAAAUGUUAGUAAUGUGGUUUUGAUUCAUCUUUGAUUAUUAACAAUGCUCCUUGGUCUCUAAGGUCGAUAUUAAUGCUACGAAGGCUGUGAAAGGAUAACCAGAAGGCUAGCUUUCCAACUCAUUGGAAGCUGUGGUAUGAAAGUCUAGUAGUAGACAGCUAUAUAAUAAUCAGUGGUAGGUAAUUGAGACAUGAAUGAGUAACACCA
ensembl:lncRNA